rnacentral:lncRNA from 1 species
CCGGACUCGUCCACUGUGGACUGCGUGGGACCAUGGCCGAGUUGGCUGAAGAUUGUGGAUGGACGUGCGGAGGACCCCCACCCCACCCCGGGACUCACCACCGGACCGGACCCUUCUUCUCUACGUGCCUCUGGCCUCCUUCCAGGAUUGGGCUGAGACCCUCACCUGAAAUCCAGCGUGGGAAAGGACCCCAGCACCCCGGACACAGCACCCCAGCACCUUCCAGCCCUGAAUCCCUCCACAGCCACGGGGACGCCCUGCACACCUUCCCACGGGACAGGCCGGACCACGACUCUGGACCGGGGCCUCCCCUUGAGUAGAGACCCACUCUGUGACUGAUGGACUGCACUGACCUGGGGGUCACGCACAUGGGCUUGACCCCCAGUCACUCCCCACGAACCCUGAGACUUGGGGGAACUGCUGAGCUUCCAGUGUCCACGUGUGAAGUGGGCUGGGACACCUACCUCACAGGGCUGUUGUGAGGCUCUGCAUGAUGUGGUUCAGAAGCACAGGGCUUGCCACGCCCCCGGGCGCUCAAUAAAUGCCUCUUGUCUUCACA